CAUGCUCUCAAUGCGGGAAGUUUUGUGCGGUUGUUUCGUGAUAAAUACAACGUAAUAUAUCGACUACGGUAUUACAUAUUACAGUGAUUCACUCAUGGGAGUGAUGCAAACACCAAGGCACGAAGUGUGCUUGGCGCAACAGGCAGUCUUUGAGACUGGCAUUCAUAUCGUGUCUGUUUGUGUGACAAUGGCAAUCGUAAUAAGGGGAGCACCACAGUCGCUGACAGAUUUGCCGCCUUGAUUGCAUCUGUGGACAUGCAUUAUCCUCAAGCUGUGUCACAAUCAAGGCAGAUAUGGUGGUGGCUCAAUGUAUUUUCAUCUUUUAAAGGAAGUUCAGGUUUUUGAAGAGAGGAAGAAAUAACUGCACCUCGACCAAGCUUUCGAAGUUGACAAGUUUGGAAAUGACAUUGCAGGUGAUGACGACCAUAUGUGGGACAGAAUGCGUGUGGCCCUAAACGGAUUGUCUUGCUGCACUGUGUAUGUGUGGUGAAGGACCCAUCAAGUGCUCUGUGUUUGAACUAUGCGAAGUGUGUGGGAACAACAACUGUCGCUCAGGUAGAAGUGGGUUACCUCCUUCAGGUAUUGUGCUUCAAAACAAAGCAAUGAAAGGUAAGCGAAUGAGAGAAACAUUUCAGGUAAAUGCUGAGUUUUCACAGACACAAAGAUGGGUUGCACAGGUAUCUCGCUCCAUGGUGAAAUUAUUCGGAGGCACAGGCCCUUACCCAAGAUUUUCCCAGCUACAAUUAAUAUGCGCAUACCAUAUUUGCACUAUUUUAAUGCGCAGGUGAAUUUAGCAAGAAAAACCACAAAAAAAAGUUGGAUGCCAAUUGUACCGUGCGGGUACGAAACAGGAGGACGUUUUUAUGACUAGAACAAAGUACU